GUUUUUGUGUAGACGGCUUUGAUCCCUGACAUGACACCCUGCACAUCAGGUCAAGAAAUUGGGAUGAUUCUGAAAUGUCAGGUGCUUUGAGGUUCUCAGAGCCAGUGAGGAGCUUGGGGUCCCAGGCUCCUGAGUCCAAGGCCUUCCGCAGCACCACAGGGAGCCACCUCCUCACCCCACAGAGUCCCAACACCCAGGUGGGCGUCCACUGGAGAAGUACCAAUGAGGGCGUCUCAUUUGAUGGGCAAGAGUCCACAGCAGGCUCCAGCUAAUGAAAAGCUUAGCUGUGGUUCUAGAUCACGUCCCAUUAGAAUAUCUUUCUAUUUCAAGUCAAAAAUUCUUAUGAAGGAUUCAUUUUAAUAAAACUUCACUGCAGGAAACAAUUCUUCCAGAAAAGCAAGUAGGUCCCAAGCGUCCGGCAGGACAAGUUCUCACACACUCCCCACCACCCGACAGGAGCAGCAGAGAGCCCCCAGGCCGAUGGCUCCCAGAGGAGGCCGCUUUACUCCUCGGCCUGCUGCGGGCUCCGGAGCUGCCUGCUGCCUGCGUUGAGCUGUGUAGACAUGGAGCCCACAGCCUGGCUUCUCCGAUCCCCCAACUCACUGUCCGUGACUCCACGUGGCUGCUGUGGCAGUGGGCCAUUUCUUCCUGUCAGCAGGGCCCCUCGGUGUGUCGUGGGCGUGUGUCUUUGUGCACUGAACUUCAGGCAUCUGUGCUACUCAAGGAUAUUUGGAUUUCCAGUUUCCAAAAGCCACGAAGAGUGGUCACUCCUGUGUGUCUCUCGGGCACAGGUGUUCCAUGUCGUGAGGAGGCGGCGAGACUGAAAUCGGCACUGGGCACGGGAGGUCUGUGCUCAGCUUUCACAGAUGCUGCCAGUUUCCAGAGUGGCUGUGUCAGCUUCCCCCUCCAGCAGUGGGCGAGAGUGCUCACCGCCGCGCAGCCAGCGCCGCCGCAGUCUGGCUGGGCACGAAUAACCGAGCCGCCACAAAGCCUUGUAGGUUCAAACAGCAACUACUUUAUUUCAACUCUCACCAGCACUGCAUGCGC
rnacentral:lncRNA from 1 species